AGGUGCCCGGCUGGACCGCGAGGGACCCGGGCGUCCCCUCGGCCGCGGCAGUCGGAGGAGGGGCUGUGGAGGCGGGGGCAGGGGCGCUGCGGGCCCGAAGGUUCGCAGGGUCGCGGGGGGCGUCUCUUCUCCCCGGAGGGGCUACGGCUCGCCGCUCGCCGGCUCUUUGUGAGGAAAGAUCUGCCGGUUUCCCCGGAGCGCGUUCGCGGUGGGCGUUAUCGGGGAGCGAGGGGAAUGGUCCGACCGAGCCGUUCUCUCUGAAGAAAGGUCUUGGAGAGCCCGGCCGGGGCUGCGGUCGGUUAAACCAGCGCUUCCGGAGCUUUCCCUGGUCGCCGGGCGUUCCAGGCCGGCGCCGGCCAUGGCUGCCGGGCGCGACUCUCGGGGCCACCUCCGGCCGCGGCCCCGGAGCGUCUGUCAGAAAGGAAGCAGCGCUCGGCCGCCUGUGGGAUGUGGUUGUGUAUUGAGCGCUGCCUAGAAAAGCACAGUCUCCCUCUCCAGGCCUCAGAGCUAGCUAAUGGGGGAGAAAGCAAACAUCUUUGAAGGAGAGAUGAUUGCUGUGGCUCGCUGAGAAGCCAGAUGAUAUCAUCAAGUUGAAUCGAAAGGAAGGGAAGAAGCAGAAUUUUCCAAGACUAAAUAGAAGACUCCUCCAGCAAAGUGGUGCCCAGCAAUUCAGGAUGAGAGUGCGAUGGGGAAUCCAACAGAAUUCUGGUUUUGGUAAGACUAGUCUGAAUCGUAGAGGAAGAGUAAUGCCUGGAAAGAGACGUCCUAAUGGAGUUAUCACUGGCCUUGCAGCUAGGAAAACGACUGGAAUUCGAAAAGGAAUUAGUCCUAUGAAUCGUCCACCUCUAAGUGACAAGAAUAUAGAACAAUAUUUUCCAGUGUUAAAAAGGAAGGCAAACCUUCUGAGACAAAAUGAAGGGCAGAGGAAACCAGUAGCAGUUCUCAAGAGACCUAGCCAGCUAAGCAGAAAAAAUAACAUUCCAGCUAAUUUUACCAGGAGUGGAAAUAAAUUAAAUCAUCAGAAAGAUACUCGUCAGGCAACUUUUCUUUUCAGAAGAGGCCUGAAGGUGCAGGCCCAGUUGAAUACAGAACAACUGCUAGACGAUGUAGUAGCAAAGAGAACUCGUCAAUGGCGGACUUCCACCACAAAUGGAGGGAUUUUGACUGUAUCUAUUGACAAUCCUGGAGCAGUGCAAUGCCCAGUAACUCAGAAACCACGAUUAACUCGUACUGCUGUACCUUCAUUUUUAACAAAGCGGGAGCAAAGUGACGUCAAGAAAGUUCCUAAAGGUGUUCCCCUGCAGUUUGACAUAAACAGUGUCGGAAAACAGACAGGGAUGACGUUGAAUGAGCGGUUUGGGAUCCUGAAGGAACAAAGAGCCACUCUCACAUACAACAAAGGGGGAAGCCGCUUUGUCACCGUGGGAUAGGUCCCAUGUCAAAGGAACUUUUGAGUGAUGACUCUGAGAAGUUGAAUUGCUUGAAGAGUUCAUCACGGAAAUUCAAGAAACUUUACUUCAAAAUAUUCACAAGGCUAAAUAACUCUUAUUUUUAUUUUUGAAGGUUUUUUUUUUUAAAAAAAAAAACGUAUAAAAUAAUGCCCUGAAAGAAUAAUAGGGAUUAUACCUGUCUGUUCUUAAAGAUUUCAUGGUUGGCUCAGACAGAACAAUCAUCUGUUUGACUUCUUUGGUUCCUCAUGCAGCAGAAGGAAGACAGAAAGAUAGAAAUUGAUUAUUUUUAUGAUAGCAGUAUUCAGGAUCUCAUCACCUUUGCCCGUGUUUUAGACUUUGUCAUGGUAAAUCCUGGUCUUCAUAAACAUGAGUAGGUCCCUUGGUUGCUGUCACUUGCCCUUUAAUAGUGUUGAUGUAGUCAGUGCCGUUGCCUUUUCUUCAUUAGAGACACAGAACAAUGUAUUAGAAUUUCCAGCUGUGGGUUUGAAGACUUAGGGGGACAUCCAGAACGUGCUUCCUCUUUCAGACGGUGUAAAGUCCCCUGGAAUUACACAGCUUUAGUGCUGAGCUUUUAACAGGAAAUGUGGCCCUAGGUAUUAGUCUUAGUUUAAAAUGUUGGUGUUUAGAGACUGUAAAUGCAUAUUCACAAAGUUAUCUGAUAGGGCCUUGGAGGAGAAGGUCCAGUUUUAAAAAAUGACAGUUUGUGUUUAAUAAAUGAAGGCAUGAGAGGAAGUAAGUAGCAAGUUGAAGGACAGGUAGUUGAGAUGAAACACUUCAAAACCCUGGUUAUAGAUGUACUGUUUGGAUGUAGCAUAGUCUUGAGUCUAGCGUCCACAAAGAAUUAUUCAAAUGAUAUUUAGAAGAAUUAUAACUAUUACAUUGAAUGGAGUCCCUUGGAUAUUUUGAUAGUAAAAUUAAUAGCCAUAAAGUCCUAGACUUCUUAUUUGAAGUUAAAAUUUCUUAUUUGAAAAGUUGAAAUUUAUGAGCUUUGAAGAUUGCUAAAUUAAAUAAUUUAUAGCUCCAAAAACAAAAAUAUACUUGUAUAUGUCACAGAGAAAAAAAAUGCAAAAUUUAUAAUAGAGUUACAUUAACCUUGUUGUUUACCUUUCACUGAUUUCUUAUAUGGUAUAAAUUAAAGUUCAGGCAUUUAUGGGGAGAAAAGGCCCUCCCCACCGACCCGCCACCUGCCACCUCUGACGGAGUGGGAGAAGUUAGUCUGUGCUAAGAUAGUACUGAGUCCCCAGAUGUUGUAUACUGUAAAUUACAGUAUAAUGCCAAAUGCAGCAAAAUCUUCCAGCUGUACGUUACAAGUUUGGUCAUUUUGAAGCUUGACAUUUUAGUUUGCCAUUAUGUUAAAAACAUCUAAAUAGGUGUUAGUUUCUCAGGAGUAGAUUGUUAGUGUUGACUUUUCCUGUAAAGCAGACAUCGUUCUUGGCCUGCCCUGCAUUGUAUACUAGAUUUCAUUGUUGUCUCUCAUGCUUCUUGAGUUGCUUCAUGGUUUAUGCUCGCCAUGGAAAGCUAUCAGUAACAGUUUCAUGCUUAUACCAAAGAAUUAAAUCUGAUCUUUAAUAUCUGAUAUUUUCCUGGUACUCGUACUGAUAAGGGAUUAUUGGAAGUCAGUCACAGAAUUUGGAAAUAAAUUCUAGUCUCUCCUUAGCUAUUUGAUGCUUUUCAUAUAGGCCAAGAACUCAUUGCAAAACAUUUUUGCAAGGAUGAAUGCCUGUAUUUGGUCUAGGAACAGUACAUUUUAGUCUGAUUUAGAAUUACUGGUAGCUUAUUUUAAAGCAAGGAAAAGCAGCUGAGCUCAAGUUUGCUGUCUUUAGAAUGGUUUGUGAAAAUAUGGUAUAAAGGUGUUUUCAUUUUCCUGUUCUUACCUAUUAUUGUAUAGAGCUAUUCAUGCCAUUUUUUGGGAAAACUUUAAAAAUUGCCCCAAAUACUGACAUUGAGUGCAUUAAAUAACAAAUUAUCUUUGAUACAUUAAACUUUUAUUCUUCAUGCAUCUGUAAUUUAAUUUUAAGUAUAAUGUUUUGCCUUUGGUACAACUAAAUUAAAACUCUUGGUGGUCACAUAUUGUAUAUAAACAAAACAAUAUGCUUUGUUGAAGGAAAAUUUUCUUUAUUGGAAUGUGGUUGUAAUCCUUGUUCAGUUCUUAAGUUUCGGUUUUUUUUAAAAACAGGAUGCAACUUAAACUUUUCUUUGCAUCAAGGUAUAUGCAAAACAUUGGUGCCGUGCAUCACCAAAUGAAAGUUUGUAUUUAACGAGGAGGUGCUUUACACUGUACUUUUUGGUGUUUUUUGGAAAAGUUACAUUUAGAUCUAUUCUGAAGCUGUUCAUUUUUAACAAAUAAAAUGUUACAGGUUUCACAUGAUUUAUUCUCAGCUCUAAAGAUUGAGUUGUGGUUUUUAGAUUGUUCUAUGUUACGAAGAACUUUGUAGUGGUUAUCUAUAUUUGUAGUUUUUAGGGUGUGAAACCUUAUCUACUAGCAAAAUUGGUAAAUCACUGUAGACUCUUCUAUUAGCAUCCCUCUCUCUUUUGAUGAUUUCAUUUGUAGCUCCAACAAAUGAAUCUAAAAAGAAGAAUCCAGGCUGGGCACGGUGGCUCAUGCCUGUAAUCCCAGAACUUGGGGAGGCCAAGGCGGGCGGAUCAUGAGGCCAGGAGCAAGACCAGCCUGGCUAACAUAGGGAGACUCUAUCUUUACUAAAAAUACAGACAUUAGCUGGUGUGGUGACAUGUGCCUGUGGUCCCAGCUACUUGGGAGGCUGAGGCGGGAGAAUUGCUUGAAUCCAGGAAGCAGAGAUUGCAGUGAGCCGAGACCACGCCAUUGCACUCCAGCCUGGGUGACAGAGUGACACUCUGUCUUAAAAAAACAAAAAAAAAGAAUCCAGUAUACUUUGCAAUGCAGAAUAUUGGGUUAGAUGAGCCUUUAGAGACUAAUCCAGUUUAACCCCUCCUUUUUACACCUUAGUAAAGUGAGUCCUAGUGUUUUCAAGACUUGCAUGUGGCAGAGUUAUUUUUUGAGCUCAGAUCUUCUAAUUCUUAAUUGAUAAUAAACUGCUUUGGUGAAUUAACACCCACAGAAAAUAGUGGAAUGGUGUGUGGUUUUCAAAUACCUAAGAAUUGGUAAUAGCCAUGCUUUAGCAUUUUUAGCAUGGUAAGUAAAUCUAUUCUACCAGUGAUGGUUAUACUUUAUUACUUUGCUAUUUGGGUUAGGUAGACCUGUUAGAAAAGUCCAGUGUUCCUAAUCAGAUAUGCAUUUUUUAAAAACAGGCAUAAACUCUUCACCACAAUUUUAAUUACAGUCAUCCCUCAGUAUACACGGAGGAUUGGUUCCAGGACCCUUGUAUAUACCCAACCCUGCGCAAUACUGAAGUCCCACAUCUGUGUAAACGAAAAGUUGGCCCACUGUGUACAUGGAUUUUCCAUUCCAAGAUGUUUUUUUGGUUCAAAACAAUUUGCUUAUAAGUAGACCCAGGUAAUUCAAAGCCAUGUUGUUGAAGGGCCAACUGUUUAAGCCAAUCGUAAAAUACUGUGUCUGAGGAAACAGGCCUCAUUGCUCAGCAGUGAGUUUUUAUUAGACUAGGUAUGUAUAUCAUUAUUAAUAUUUUACUGUAAAUAGCUUUGUAAUUCACACAAAGUAUACGGGCCCAGCAGGCCUCAUUGCUCAGCAGUGAGUUUUUAUUAGACUAGGUAUGUAUAUCAUUAUUAAUAUUUUACUGUAAAUAGCUUUGUAAUUCACACAAAGUAUACGGGCCCAGAAUAAUUUUUGUUGAUUUAUUUUUACUAUAAGGAGAUAAGAGAAAAAAUAGCUCACUUGGCAGCACAGAAAAUGAAUACCAUAUUGGCAAUAUUAAAGCAGAAAAUAAUUCAUUUCUGAUCAGUAGUGCUUUCAGUUUUCAUCAGAAUUAUUAUUAUUAUUAUUAUUUUGCCACUGUGAAAAAGCAGUUAAGCAUGUAAAACUUCCCUUUAGAGAGGGUUCUUUUUGGAUAGAUCAAUUUGGAACUAGCUUCUUUUUUUUUUUUUUAAAUGAUACUUCAGUAAACACAGCAUUUACAACAAGAAUUGUGGACUAUGGUGGACCAUUAAUAGGGAUUUAAAGAUUUACUUAGAAAUUGUAGACUUCUAAUAUCUUUUAUUUCCCUUCUCACCACAGUUUAUUUUCUUUUUUCUUUUUCUUUUUUUUUUUUUCUUUUUUUUCUUUUUUUGAGAUGGAGUUUCACUCUUGUUGCCCAGGUUGGAGUGCAAUGGUGCGAUCUCGGCUCACCCCAACCUCCGCCUCCCGGGUUCAAGCAAUUCUCCUGCCUCAGCCUCCCAAGUGGCUGGGAUUACAGGUGCCCACCACCAUGCCCAGUUAAUUUUGCAUUUUUAGUAGAGACGGGGUUUCUCCAUGUUGGUCAGGCUGGUCUCAAACUCCUGACUUCAGGUGAUCUGCCUGCCUCGGCCUCCCAAAGUGCUGGGAUUACAGGUGUGAGCCACCGCACCCAGCCUACAGCUUAUUUUCUACCUAUGUUUAACAGGAAGCUUGAUAACACAAGCAAAUGUGAUGCCAUUCUGGGACUGAAAUGUCGUCUUAUGAGUGUAUUCAGAUGAGGUAUACCAGUGUUUAAAGAUUAGUUGGAAGUUAUUCUCCUAGUGUGCAUAUUUAAUUUCUACUUACUCCAUUUCCCUUUAAUGAGAAAAGAAUCAUAUUGUCUGAAUUUUCCUGUAUAAAGUUUAAAAAAGUUAAUUAUUAGGACUUGUUUUUAAAGGAGUAAGCAAUGGAAGGAUCAAACAUUUAUUAAAUAUAUUCAGCAAAUAUUUAGAAUUAAAUGUAUUCAGCAAGGAAGAGAAUGGGAUUCAUACUGCUUGGAGUUUAUAAAAGCGGAGUUUUUUUAUUUUUUGAGACGGAAUACUCUGUCACCCAGGCUGCAGUGCAGUGGCACAAUCUCGGCUCACUGCAGCCUCUGCCUCCCAGGAUCCUUUCCGGGUUCAAGCAAUUCUUGUCCCUCAGCCUCGUAAGUAGGUGGGAUUACAAGCUUGAGCCACCACAGCCAACUAAUUUUUGUGUUUUUAGUAGAAAUGAGUUUUCACCAUGUUGGCCAGGCUGGUCUCGAACUCCUACCCUCAGGAGAUCUGCCUGCCUCAGCUUCCCAAAGUGCUGGGAUUACAGGUGUGAGCCACCACGCCCGCCCUAAAAGUGGAUUCUUUUUUUUUUUUUUUUUUUUGGAGACAGUCUUGCUCUGUUGCCCAGGCUGGAGUGCAGUAGUGAUCUUGGCUCACUGCAGCCUCUGCCUCCCGGGUUCAAGCGAUUUUCCUGUCUCAACCUUCCAAGUAUCUGGGAUUACAGGCACGUGCCACUACACCCAGCUAAUUUUUGUACUAAGACGAGGUUUCACCAUAUUGGCCAGUCUAGUCUCAAACUCCUGACCUCAGGUGAUAUGCCCGCCUCUGACUCCCAAAGUGCUGGGAUUACAGGCAUGAGCUACGGAGCCCGGCCUAGAAGUGGAGUCUUAGAAGGAGUGACCAUGAUAUGUUUCUACUGAGUAGAAGGGGGAAGGGAGGACAUAACCUUUGCAUGAUAUAGUGAAAUGCAGAGCUGGAAAGAACUAUUAAGAUUUGAGUGAAACUUUUGCCCCCUGUGUUGAAUGAGUUAACUUUCAGUCUGUAAAAUAAACAGGAAGAACUGGGAA